rnacentral:RNase_P_RNA from 1 species
GAGGAAAGUCCGGGCUCCAAAGGGCAGGGCGCCGGGUAAUACCCGGGGUGGGGAAACCCCACACGGUAAGGGCCACAGAAACGAGACCGCCGAAGCGGUAAGCCAGGCAAGGGUGAAAGGGUGGGGUAAGGGCCCACCGGCUCCGCGGUAACGCGGGGUGAGGGGGUAAAAAUCCCCCGGCGGGUUUUCCCGCUCUGGUAACCUCCCGCCCGGAGCAAGGCCAAGUAGCGCCGCACCCCGAAAGGGGAUAAGGUGGCCCGCCGAAAUGCGGUGCGGGUAGGCCGCAAUGGAAGUCGGGGGGCAACUCCCGACUCAAGAUAGAUGACCACCUAGUACAGAACCCGGCUUA